AUAUCAAUAAGCGGAGGAAAAGAAACUAACAAGGAUUCCCCUAGUAACGGCGAGUGAAGCGGGAUGAGCUCAAAUUUAAAAUCUGGCUGGUUUACUAGUCCGAGUUGUAAUUUAAAGAAGCGUUUUCGGUGGCAGCCUGGGUAUAAAUCCUUUGGAACAGGGUAUCAUAGAGGGUGAGAAUCCCGUCUUUGACUCGGUGCUGUGCUACUAUGUGAUACGUUUUCAAAGAGUCGAGUUGUUUGGGAAUGCAGCUCAAAAUGGGUGGUAAAUUUCAUCUAAGGCUAAAUAUUGGCGAGAGACCGAUAGCGAACAAGUACCGUGAGGGAAAGAUGAAAAGAACUUUGAAAAGAGAGUUAAACAGUGCGUGAAAUUGUUGAAAGGGAAACGUUUGACACCAGCUAUGUAGGUGGAAAAUCAGUCAACUGCAGUGAGGAGUUGUACGGGUCUGACCGCAAGGCUGGCCUGUGCCUCAUCUUUGCUGUGUGUGAUGCACUUUUUCGUCUGCAGGUCAACAUCAGUUUCUCCUGCUGGAUAAAACUCUGAGAGAAGGUAGCAGCUUAGGCUGUGUUAUAGCUCUGGAGCGAUACAGUGGGAGGGACUGAGGAUUCGCAGUGUGUGCUCUCGGGCAAGGCCGACUGGGUGCUAUGGAGUCGUUCGGUGUACAAUGCAUGCAUUUUGCGCCGUGUCUUCUUUAUACUCGCUCAACUCGGCUCUUCCACGCUUAGGAUGUUGACUUAAUGGUUUUAAACGA
rnacentral:rRNA from 1 species